AGAGUUUGAUCCUGGCUCAGAUUGAACGCUGGCGGCAGGCCUAACACAUGCAAGUCGAGCGAGAAAGGUCUUCGGACUGAGUACGGCGGCGGACGGGUGAGUAACGCGUAGGAAUCUACCCGGUAGUGGGGGACAACUUGGGGAAACCCAAGCUAAUACCGCAUACGCCCUAUGGGGGAAAGCGGGGGACCUUCGGGCCUCGCGCUAUCGGAUGAGCCUGCGUAGGAUUAGCUUGUUGGUGAGGUAAAGGCUCACCAAGGCGACGAUCCUUAGCUGGUCUGAGAGGAUGAUCAGCCACACUGGGACUGAGACACGGCCCAGACUCCUACGGGAGGCAGCAGUGGGGAAUAUUGCGCAAUGGGCGAAAGCCUGACGCAGCCAUGCCGCGUGUGUGAAGAAGGCCUUCGGGUUGUAAAGCACUUUCAAUUGGGAAGAAAGGUUGCGUGUUAAUAGCACGUAGCUGUGACGUUACCUUUAGAAGAAGCACCGGCUAACUCCGUGCCAGCAGCCGCGGUAAUACGGAGGGUGCGAGCGUUAAUCGGAAUUACUGGGCGUAAAGCGCGCGUAGGCGGUUUGUUAAGUCGGAUGUGAAAUCCCCGGGCUCAACCUGGGAAUUGCCUUCGAUACUGGCCGACUAGAGUACGAGAGAGGGAGGUAGAAUUCCACGUGUAGCGGUGAAAUGCGUAGAUAUGUGAGGAAUACCGGUGGCGAAGGCGGCCUCCUGGCUC
rnacentral:rRNA from 1 species